ACAUUAUUAUUGUUGGGUUAAAAUUUAUUUCUAAUUACUAUCUUAUCCCUACUUUUAUUCAAAAUUUACCAAAUUAACCCUAACCCUAAUUUUCACACAACACUCUUACCCUUUCUCCCUAACCCUCAGCAGUCGAAACCCUAAGCUGACUACCUCUUCCCAAAUUCAGCAGCAUUCAUGAAACAGAACAGAGAUAGAGAGUCAGGAACCAGGGGAGGGGGAAUCGGGGAAGUGGGACGGUGGGGUGCUGGCGAGGAGUGCCGUCGCCGUUGCUGUCGCCAGGAGAGGAGAGUGACGCGGAGGAGGGAGGUGACGCUUCAUUGUCGCCGCGCUCUGCUGCCACGAGGCCGCCGUCGUCGCUGCCUUGAAGGGAGCCGUAAGGGUCGCCGUUGAGCAUGAAAGGUUGGGAGAGAGAGAGCUUGCGUCUGAGACUGGAGAGGAGGUGUGGUCCGCGCUUUUGCCUCUAUCGCAACUGGCCCGCCGCCGCCACCGAAAGAAGUCGUCGCCGUCGCCUGAGAAGAAACCGACGAGAGAGAGGGAACUCGCAGAGAGGAACGCGAAGCAGGAGCCUCUGUCCGCCGAUCUGUCACCGUACUGUUGGGCUGUCGCCGCCACCAAGGGUCCGUCGCCGUGGGUUGUUUUCGCCGUCAGCGCUGCCAUUGAAGGGAGCUCGCCACCACGUUUGGUUGUUGCUGCCGCAUGCCCAUCUCUGCCGACGCUGAGAACGCACAAGGGUGGCAGACGCAGGGAGGGAGGCGGAGGAAGGAGGAGGAGGCGCCGUGUCUGGUAGUUGCCAUCCCGUCACCGCAGUUUACCUCUGCCACUGCCAACUGCUGCUCUCCGGUGCUUAGCUGGAGCUUCUGUUACUAUUGUCGGAGAUCUAUGGUUGCCGGAAAACACCGCUAUUGUUGUUGCGGAAGGAGGAAGAAGCCUCGCCGCUGAUCUGGCCGCCAGGAGCAGUCCUGUAGCCACCGGAACCACCGCCGGGGAUGCCUCUUCUUGACUCAGUCACUUCUUCUUAGUUGCGAAUUGCUGUGGUCGCUGUGGAAGUGGGUUGGAGUUGAGGUUACAGUUGCCGAGGUUACGGGCCGAGGAGAAAGGAUUUUGACGCGUUGUGUAGCUUUUGGGUUUCGAUUAUUCGGGGUAGGAGCCUUUCUUCGAAAACCAUACUUUAUAAUUUGAAAUUAUUAUAUAUGGAUAUUAUGUGCUAAAAAUGUAUAUUUGGGUGAUUGUAUAAGUCUUAUGUAAUGUUGGUUGUUUUGGAUGAAUACGAAUGCUUGGUUGAUUUAAUCAUUAUUUGGUUUUAUGAAACGGACGAUUUUGAAGUGCU